UACUGACAUUGAGGCGCGAAAGCGUGGGGAGCAAACAGGAUUAGAUACCUUGGUAGUCCACGCCGUAAACGAUGUAGUUUAAGUGUUAGGAGUUUUCCGCCCUUAGUGGCGCAAGUUACGCCUUUAACCCUCCCCCUGGGGAGUUCCGGCGCCAGGGUUGAAAUUAAAAGGAUUUGCGGGGGGCCCCCCCAACGGGGGAGCAUGUGGGUUUAUUUGAAACAACGCGAAAAACCUUUCCAGGGUCUUACAUUCCUUGAACUUGCCAGAGAUGGAUUGUUGUCUUUCGGGAGCCAGAAUCACAGGGGUGCCUGGUUUGUUCACAUCUCGUCUCGAGAAUGUUGGGUUUAAUCCCCCAACAGAGCACACCCCUUAUUUUUAUUCCACCCCAUUAAGGUGGGCACUUUAAGGUGACUGCCGGUGCCAAACCGGAGGAAGGUGGGGAUGACGUCAAUUCAUCAUGCCCCUACGACCUGGGCUACACACGUGUUCAAAUGGUCGGUACAAAGGGCACCCAAGCCGCGAGGUGGAGUAAAUUCCUUAAACCCUUUUCCAUUUCGGAUGUCAGUCUCCAAUUCGCUUCCAGGAAGUGGGAAUCGUUAGUAAUCGGGAAUCACAAUGCCCCGGUGAAUCCUUUCCCGGCCCUGGUCCCCCCCGCCCUUCCCACCAUGAAGUUGGUACCCCCAAAGUCGGGGGGGUUACCCUCUGAGCCAGCCGCCUAAG
rnacentral:rRNA from 1 species